rnacentral:rRNA from 1 species
AUUGAACGCUGGCGGCAGGCCUAACACAUGCAAGUCGAACGGUAACAGGGAUCAGCUUGCUGAUUCGCUGACGAGUGGCGGACGGGUGAGUAAUGUCUGGGAAACUGCCUGAUGGAGGGGGAUAACUACUGGAAACGGUAGCUAAUACCGCAUACCGUCGCAAGACCAAAGAGGGGGACCUUCGGGCCUCUUGCCAUCGGAUGUGCCCAGAUGGGAUUAGCUAGUAGGUGGGGUAACGGCUCACCUAGGCGACGAUCCCUAGCUGGUCUGAGAGGAUGACCAGCCACACUGGAACUGAGACACGGUCCAGACUCCUACGGGAGGCAGCAGUGGGGAAUAUUGCACAAUGGGCGCAAGCCUGAUGCAGCCAUGCCGCGUGUAUGAAGAAGGCCUUCGGGUUGUAAAGUACUUUCAGCGGGGAGGAAGAGAGUAAAGUUAAUACCUUUGCUCAUUGACGUUACCCGCAGAAGAAGCACCGGCUAACUCCGUG